GAUGAAGAACGUAGUGAAAUGCGAUAAGUAAUGUGAAUUGCAGAAUUCAGUGAAUCAUCGAAUCUUUGAACGCACAUUGCGCCCGCCAGUAUUCUGGCGGGCAUGCCUGUUCGAGCGUCAUUUCAACCAUCAAGCCCCCGGCUUGUGUUGGGGACCUGCGGCUGCCGCAGGCCCUGAAAAGCAGUGGCGGGCUCGCUGUCACACCGAGCGUAGUAGAUUUCAUCUCGCUCAGGGCGUGCUGCGGGUUCCGCCCGUUAAACCACCUUCAUAACCCAAGGUUGACCUCGGAUCAGGUAGGAAGACCCGCUGAACUUAAGCAUAUCAAUAAGCGGAGGA
rnacentral:misc_RNA from 1 species